rnacentral:rRNA from 1 species
AUUGAACGCUGGCGGCAGGCCUAACACAUGCAAGUCGAACGAGUGGCGGACGGGUGAGUAAUGUCUGGGAAACUGCCCGAUGGAGGGGGAUAACUACUGGAAACGGUAGCUAAUCCCGCAUACCAUCGGAUGUGCCCAGAUGGGAUUAGCUAGUAGGUGGGGUAAAGGCUCACCUAGGCGACGAUCCCGAGCUGGUCUGAUAGGAUGACCAGCCAGACUGGAACUGAGACACGGUCCAGACUCCUACGGGAGGCAGCAGUGGGGAAUAUUGCACAAUGGGCGCAAGCCUGAUGCAGCCAUGCCGCGGGUAUGAAGAAGGCCUUCGGGUUGUAAAGUACUUUCAGCGGGGAGGCGUUACUCGCAGAAGAAGCACCGGCUAACUCCGUGCCAGCAGCCGCGGUAAUUC